GGAGACUGAUACCACCUCCAGGGUGACCUCAGGGCCCUCCAGGCAGCUGCUGCCCUCUGGCUGGGGCUUGACAAGCUGGAUGAAACCCACUGGCGGCAUGGAUCCCAAGCCUACCGCUGGGCGUGGCGCUGGCAGUUCAGGAAAGUGGCCCAGAGUUUUGGCUUAUGUGUGUGUGUGGAGGAUGUGGGCAUUUCCCUUGUGGAGCACUUACAGCUCUUGUCAGCCUCUGAACAUCCGGGAGAUGGUUAUGGACAGGGAAGCCUGGCGUGCUGCAGUCCACGGGGUUGCAAAGAUUCAGACACGACUGAGCGACUGCACUGACUGAACAUCUGUCUGCUCAGGCCCACCUGGACUCUGCUUGCCAGCUGGGUCUCCUCCAGCUCCCCAGCAGCCGCUCUGCAGACAGCAGCCUGGAGCUGUGGCUUCACCCCGCAGGGUGAUUAAUUCAGCCGCAAAGCAUUAAGCAGUGAAAACCACCGCUUGAGCCAACGUGAUAGUGCCGGAAAAUGCAUGAGUGCCUAACUUUAAAGGCUAUGCAUUCCUAAGAGGGCCUCCUUAACUCUUUCUGGAGUUAUGGAAAAAGACUGCACUGAGGAGGUGUGACCUGGGAACCCGAGCUUGAGGGAGUGGAGAUGGUCCAGGUGUGGAGGGAGAGAGGUCAUUCAGGCUGCGGCCGCCCCGCCCUCCCCUCCACGGGCAUUUCUUAGCCUUCUGCCAAGGCUGACUGCUCACCAGGGGCCCUGUUUUCUACUUUCCUUCCUUCCUUCUUCCCUUCCCCCAUCUUUUUUCUUUUUUCAUCCUCUCCCUCCAAUUACUUGCAUCAGAAUCAUUGCCUAUACUCAUAGACUCCUGGGCUGCACCCCAGUCCAGAGUUAAAGGCUCUGAGGAUGCAGGACCUAGGUACCUGCAUGUUUAACACNNNNNNNNNNNNNNNNNNNNNNNNNNNNNNNNNNNNNNNNNNNNNNNNNNNNNNNNNNNNNNNNNNNNNNNNNNNNNNNNNNNNNNNNNNNNNNNNNNNNNNNNNNNCAACUCACUCCAGUAUUCUUGCCUGGAAAAUUCCAUGGACGGAGGAGCCUUGUUGGCCACAGUCCAUGGGGUUGCAAAGAGUUAGACACGACUUCACUUUUCACUUUCACCAGGUGAUUCUGAAGCACCAUCAACUGGGAAUGAUUGACCUAAAGGUGCUCCCAACACAGCCCACCAUGGCUGGCCUGAUGCAGAGCAGGUGUGUGUGUGCUUCGGGGCGGAGCCUCAUACUCAACUUGAAAAACUGGUUUCCACAAGGAGGCUGCUUGGCUCAGAACCAUCCUGCGCUGUGGGCGGGUUCGGGCAAGCUGAGCCCAGGGGUGCGGCAUCUGGGGAUGGUCUUGGAUUUGGUGAGAAUGGCUUCACUACUCAUUAGCAGCUCAACGGUCUUAAGCAAACUAUUUUCUUAUCUGUAAAGUGGGGCAACAAUAGGACCAGUUUUGGUGGGUUGUUGAGAGGGUCACAUGAGGGCCAAUACCCACAGGAUUGUUCCAAAAGCAGAGAUUUUGGUUGUUUAUGUUUUAUUUUUAAAUAAGGGUGAUAAAGAAAACAAACAUAUCGUACCCAAAAGGGAGAAAGUCUGAUUGAAAUCAUUAUUACAAAGCCCAGUUGAAGCUUAGCUUUUUUGAUCAAAGUGGUAAGAAUAGGGUCAAGUAUGCUGGAAGAUCAGCAGUGAUUCUCAGUAGAUUAAGCGUCAGAGCCACUGUGUUCAAAACAUCAGUCCACCCUGGUUCCACCAGCUGCCACAUCACCCCUACCGCCAUUACAGUGACUCUCUAGGAGGUAUCUGCAUUAAAAAAAAAAAAAAAAGGGAAAACCUGCUUUCCUGUGAUAAGAAUGGCCUGGAGGUCCUUAUAGAAACAUCUUCCCUGACUUCUGGGGAUUCUGCUUUAGGGGGUUGUGGGUGGGUUCUGGAACUUGCAUUUUUAAACAAGUGUUUCUUUUUUUUAAAUCGAAGUAUAUUUGGUUUCAGUUCAGUUCAGUCGCUCAGUCAUGUCCGACUGUUUGCGACCCCAUGNNNNNNNNNNNNNNNGCCUCCCUGUCCAUCACCAACUCCCGGAGUCCACCCAAACCCAUGUCCAGGGUCCCUGGGAAAGAGGCACCAUGGCCAUGGGUCUGGGCAGCUGUUGUUGGCAGCAUGGCUAAAUCCCUCCAGAUGGGGUUAAUAGAAGGAAGAGGGGUAUGAGUUUCAGGACAGCGGCCAUGGCUACCAGUUUCCACAAAAUCUGUCAGGCCCUGUCUGAUCCUUGACCUCUGCUAGCUGCCCCUCCUCACAGCUGGAAGCCGCAAAACCCAUCCCACCUGAGUCCUCUGCCAAGUCUCACCCUGGGCAGGGUUGGGGUGGGGAAGGCUCGAGGCAACAUCAGCUCAAGAGUGUGUGUCAACAGCAAGAACAACAGCAAGCAUUCCUGGCUGCAAAUCCAGCCAACCCUGUGCUAAAUCCCUGAAACUGCCUUCUGGACUUUGUCCUGAGUCUGCAAAGUGACUGGGUUAACAGGUGACUGCAGGAGUGCCCAGCUCCUGCGCGAAGUCUUCCCCGGGAACGCAGCUCCCCUUCUCAGGUGUGGCCCUGCCUUUCACUCAGGGACAAGUCUCUCUUCAGGCUUUGACCCUGUGGCUGCCCCUUUAUAAUUAACAGUUCCAAGUUCCUAUCCCGCUGCCAUUCCUCCCAGGGUCUCCCUCAGGUUAGUUUUGCACAGGCCUUCUUCACACACAAAAAACUGAAGCCAUCUUGAUAAACUGCCCGAAGUCACACAGCCUUAUGGCUGAACCAGAGGCCAACCACACGGUUCUAACUCUGGCUGCACACUGCAAGUCUGAAGUCUGCCUUCUUCAGAGGCCUGGCAGGCUUUGUUUUUUGUCGUUUAAUCAGGCUGCCUCCUACCAAAUGGCCCUCUUCAAGAACCACACACUUGCCCAGCAUUUACAUUUGCAACCCUGUUUGAGGGUCAGCCCUUCAUAAUAGCAGCAUAGAGUCCUCUGAAGCUAAUACAGAAGUUGGGCUAGAAACACAGAGUACUGGCCUAAAGCAGUCGAGGAAACAAAGUGGGAAACAGGGGCCCCACCAUAGUUCAGUUCAGUCGUGUCUGACUCUUUGUGACCCCAUAGACUGCAGCGCGCCAGACCUCCCUGUCCAUCACCAACUCCUGGAGUUUACUCAAACUCAU
ensembl:lncRNA